UCUUAGCGGCGGACGGGUGAGUAACGCGUGGGCAACCUGCCUAAAAGAGGGGGAUAGACACGGAGAAAGGGUGACUAAUACCGCAUAACAUUAUGCGGCCGCAUGUCUGUAUAAUCAAAGGAGAAAUCCGCUUUUAGAUGGGCCCGCGUCUGAUUAGCUAGUUGGUGAGGUAAAAGCUUACCAAGGCGACGAUCAGUAGCCGACCUGAGAGGGUGAUCGGCCACACUGGAACUGAGACACGGUCCAGACUCCUACGGGAGGCAGCAGUGGGGAAUAUUGCGCAAUGGGGGAAACCCUGAUGCAGCAACGCCGCGUGAGUGAUGAAGGCCUUCGGGUUGUAAAGCUCUGUCUUUGGGGACGAUAAUGACGGUACCCAAGGAGGAAGCCACGGCUAACUACGUGCCAGCAGCCGCGGUAAUACGUAGGUGGCAAGCGUUGUCCGGAUUUACUGGGCGUAAAGGAUGCGUAGGUGGAUAUUUAAGUGGGAUGUGAAAUACCCGGGCUCAACUCGGGUGCUGCAUUCCAAACUGGAUAUCUAGAGUGCAGGAGAGGUAAGUGGAAUUCCUAGUGUAGCGGUGAAAUGCGUAGAGAUUAGGAAGAACACCAGUGGCGAAGGCGACUUACUGGACUGUAACUGACACUGAGGCAUGAAAGCGUGGGGAGCAAACAGGAUUAGAUACCCUGGUAGUCCACGCCGUAAACGAUGGGUACUAGGUGUGGGAGGUAUCGACCCCUUCCGUGCCGCCGUUAACACAAUAAGUACCCCGCCUGGGGAGUACGGUCGCAAGAUUAAAACUCAAAGGAAUUGACGGGGGCCCGCACAAGCAGCGGAGCAUGUGGUUUAAUUCGAAGCAACGCGAAGAAUCCUUACCUAGACUUGACAUCUCCUGAAUUACCUGUAAUAAGGAAGCCCUUCGGGGCAGGAAGACAGGUGGUGCAUGGUUGUCGUCAGCUCGUGUCGUGAGAUGUUG
rnacentral:rRNA from 1 species